GAUGAACGCUAGCUACAGGCUUAACACAUGCAAGUCGAGGGGCAGCGGUAUCGAAAGCUUGCUUUCGGUAGCCGGCGACCGGCGCACGGGUGAGUAACGCGUAUCGAACCUGCCUCAUACUCGGGAAUAGCCUUGCGAAAGUAAGAUUAAUGCCCGGUGUUUUCAGAGUCCCGCAUGAGGCUUUGAACAAAGAUUUAUCGGUAUGAGAUGGCGAUGCGUCCCAUUAGCUUGUUGGCGGGGUAACGGCCCACCAAGGCAUCGAUGGGUAGGGGUUCUGAGAGGAAGGUCCCCCACAUUGGAACUGAGACACGGUCCAAACUCCUACGGGAGGCAGCAGUGAGGAAUAUUUGUCAAUGGGCGGAAGCCUGAACCAGCCAAGUAGCGUGCAGGAAGACGGCCCUCCGGGUUGUAAACUGCUUUUAGUUGGGAAUAAAACGGGGCUCGUGAGCCCCCUUGCAUGUACCAUCAGAAAAAGGACCGGCUAAUUCCGUG
rnacentral:rRNA from 1 species